ACUCAAAUGAAUUGACGGGGACCCGCACAAGCGGUGGAGCAUGGGGUUUAAUUCGACGAUACGCGAAGAACCUUACCGAGGCUUGACAUCCCUGGAAUCUGUAAGAAAUUACGGAGUGCCUUCGGGAGCCAGGUGACAGGUGCUGCAUGGCCGUCGUCAGCUCGUGUCGUGAGAUGUUGGGUUAAGUCCCGCAACGAGCGCAACCCUUGUCGUGUGUUGUAUUUUUCACACGAGACUGCCCGGGCCAACCGGGAGGAAGGUGGGGAUGACGUCAGGUCAGCAUGGCCCUUACGCCUCGGGCCACACCCGUGCUACAAUGGCCGGUACAACGCGUUGCCAAAUCGCAAGAUGGAGCUAAUCGCAUCAAAACCGGUCUCAGUUCGGAUAGGAGGCUGCAACUCGCCUCCUUGAAGCUGGAAUCGCUAGUAAACGUGGGUCAGCAUACCACGUUGAAUACGUUCCCGGGUCUUGCACACACCGCCCGU
rnacentral:rRNA from 1 species